GAUGAACGCUAGCGGCAGGCUUAAUACAUGCAAGUCGAGGGGGCAGCAAUGUCACCGGCGGACGGGUGCGUAACGCGUAUGGAACCUACCUUUAUCAGGGGGAUAGCCCGGGGAAACCCGGAUUAAUACCGCAUAAUAUAUUGAACGGCAUCGUUUAAUAUUGAAAGAUUUAUUGGAUAGAGAUGGUCAUGCGUAGGAUUAGCUAGUUGGUAAGGUAACGGCUUACCAAGGCGACGAUCCUUAGGGGCUCUGAGAGGAGUAACCCCCACACUGGCACUGAGAUACGGGCCAGACUCCUACGGGAGGCAGCAGUAGGGAAUAUUGGGCAAUGGGCGAGAGCCUGACCCAGCCAUGCCGCGUGCAGGAAGACGGCCCUCUGGGUUGUAAACUGCUUUUGAAUGGGAAGAACGGUAAGCCUGCGGGCUUAAUUGACGGUACCAUUAGAAUAAGCCACGGCUAACUACGUGCCAGCCGCCGCAGUAA
rnacentral:rRNA from 1 species